GUACACUCCUACGGGAGGCAGCAGUGGGGAAUUUUGGACAAUGGGCGAAAGCCUGAUCCAGCAAUGCCGCGUGUGUGAAGAAGGCCUUCGGGUUGUAAAGCACUUUUGUCCGGAAAGAAAUCCUUGGCUCUAAUACAGUCGGGGGAUGACGGUACCGGAAGAAUAAGCACCGGCUAACUACGUGCCAGCAGCCGCGGUAAUACGUAGGGUGCGAGCGUUAAUCGGAAUUACUGGGCGUAAAGCGUGCGCAGGCGGUUUGCUAAGACCGAUGUGAAAUCCCCGGGCUCAACCUGGGAACUGCAUUGGUGACUGGCAGGCUAGAGUAUGGCAGAGGGGGGUAGAAUUCCACGUGUAGCAGUGAAAUGCGUAGAGAUGUGGAGGAAUACCGAUGGCGAAGGCAGCCCCCUGGGCCAAUACUGACGCUCAUGCACGAAAGCGUGGGGAGCAAACAGGAUUAGAUACCCGGGUAGUCCC
rnacentral:rRNA from 1 species